rnacentral:rRNA from 1 species
GACGAACGCUGGCGGCGUGCUUAACACAUGCAAGUCGAACGAAGUGGCGAACGGGUGAGUAACGCGUAAUCAACCUGCCCUUCAGAGGGGGACAACAGUUGGCAACGACUGCUAAUACCGCAUACUGAAGGAGGGGAUUGCGUUGGAUUAGCUAGUUGGAGGGGUAACGGCCCCCCAAGGCGAGGAUCAGUAGCCGGUCUGAGAGGAUGAAGGGCGACAUUGGGACUGAGACACGGCCCAGACUCAUACGGGAGGCAGCAGGGGGGAAGCUUACGGAAUGGACGGAAGUCUGACGGAGCAACGCCGCGGGAGUGAUGACGGCCUUCGGGUUGGAAAGCUCUGUUAAUCGGGACGCGGUACCGGAAUAGAAAGCCACGGCUAACUACGUGACAGCAGCCGCGGUAAUAC